GGGAUUGGAAAUAGCAAUAUUACCAUGAGAGUGGCGCACGGGUGCGUAACACGUAUGCAAUCUGCCCCUAACUGGAAGAUAGCCCGGCGAAAGUCGGAUUAAUAUUCCAUAACAUUGCGAAACGGCAUCGUUUUGUAAUUAAAGCUCCGGCGGUUAGGGAUGAGCAUGCGCGACAUUAGCUAGAUGGCGAGGUAACGGCUCACCAUGGCUACGAUGUCUAGGGGGUCUGAGAGGAUUAUCCCCCACACUGGUACUGAGACACGGACCAGACUCCUACGGGAGGCAGCAGUAGGGAAUAUUGGGCAAUGGACGCAAGUCUGACCCAGCCAUGCCGCGUGCAGGAUGACGGCCCUAUGGGUUGUAAACUGCUUUUGUACAGGAAGAAACCCCUUUACGUGUAGAGGGCUGACAUUACUGUAAGAAUAAGGAUCGGCUAACUCCGUGCCAGCAGCCGCGGUAAUACGGAGGAUCCAAGCGUUGUCCGGAUUUAUUGGGUUUAAAGGGUGCGUAGGCGGACCAUUAAGUCAGAGGUGAAAGUUUGCAGCUUAACUGUAAAAUUGCCUUUGAAACUGGUGGUCUUGAGUACAGUUGAGGUGGGCGGAAUGUGUCAUGUAGCGGUGAAAUGCUUAGAUAUGAUACAGAACACCGAUUGCGAAGGCAGCUCACUAAACUGUAACUGACGCUGAGGCACGAAAGCGUGGGGAGCGAACAGGAUUAGAUACCCUGGUAGUCCACGCCCUAAACGUUGAAUACUCGUUGUUGGCGAUAUACAGUCAGCGACUAAGCGAAAGCAUUAAGUAUUCCACCUGGGGAGUACGACCGCAAGGUUGAAACUCAAAGGAAUUGACGGGGGCCCGCACAAGCGGAGGAGUAUGUGGUUUAAUUCGAUGAUACGCGAGGAACCUUACCUGGGCUUGAAAGUUAGCGACCGCUGCCGAAAGGUGGCUUCCCUUCGGGGCGCGAAACUAGUGCUGCAUGGCUGUCGUCAGCUC
rnacentral:rRNA from 1 species